rnacentral:rRNA from 1 species
AUUGAACGCUGGCGGCAUGCUUUACACAUGCAAGUCGAACGGCAGCGCGGGCUUCGGCCUGGCGGCUAGUGGCGAACGGGUGAGUGAUGCAUUGGAACGUGCCCAGUAGGGGGGGGGGGCCCGGCGAGAGCCGUAGUACUACCGCAUGCGAGCUGAUGGUGAAAGCGGGUGACCGAUAGACCGCGCGCUCUUUGGGCGGUGGAUGUCGGAUUUGCUAGUUUGUUGGGUGAAGGGUUUCCAAGGCGAGGAUCCGGAGAUGGUCUGAGAGAGCGACCAGCCACACUAGAACUGAGACGCGGCCAAGACUCCUAAGGGAGGCAGCAGUGGGGAAUGUUGGACAGUAGUGGCAACCCUGAUCCAGCCAUGCCGCGUGCGAGAAGAAGGCCUUCGGGUUGUAAACCGCUUUUGUGCGGGAAGAACUCCUCUGGGCUAAUACCCCGGGGGGAUGACGGUACCGGAAGAAUAAGCACCGGCUAACUACGUG